rnacentral:rRNA from 1 species
AUUGAACGCUGGCGGCGUGCCUAACACAUGCAAGUCGAGCGGUAACAGGUGUAGCAAUACAUGCUGACGAGCGGCGGACGGGUGAGUAACGCUUGGGAAUCUGCCUAUUAGUGGGGGACAACCCGGGGAAACUCGGGCUAAUACCGCAUACGCACUACGGUGGAAAGCCGGGGACCGCAAGGCCUGGCGCUAACAGAUGAGCCCAAGUCGGAUUAGCUAGUUGGUAGGGUAACGGCCACCAAGGCGACGAUCCGUAGCUGGUCUGAGAGGAUGAUCAGCCACACUGGGACUGAGACACGGCCCAGACUCCUACGGGAGGCAGCAGUGGGGAAUAUUGGACAAUGGGGGCAACCCUGAUCCAGCAAUGCCGCGUGAGUGAUGAAGGCCUUAGGGUUGUAAA